rnacentral:lncRNA from 1 species
CUUGUCUAUAUUCAGAUACCCCCCUACAUUCGGAUACUCCCCUGCAUUAGAUAUUUCUCUAUACUUAGAUACUCCCCUACAUUCAGAUAGUCCUCUUCAUCAGAUACUCCUGUAGAUUCAGAUUCUCCCCUGCAUCAGAUACCACCCUGCAUUCAGGUACUGCCCUCUUGUUCUGUGGGUUUUUUUUUUUUUUGUAGAAAUUUGCCAACUGUAACGUCCUUACAAAGUGUUUUAACUGCUUUGAUGUGAGAGCUUGCUUUAACUUUGCGGUAAAAGUGCUUUGUGGCAGAGGACCUCCUGCUUUGUGUCCUAAAGACUCGAAAUGAACUGAAAGCAUCAACUCUUCCUCCUUGAAAUAAACAAUGACUCUUCUACGUCAAGAAGCACGUCCCCAAUGUAGGGCCCUGCACACACACACGCACAUGCACGCACAAGGCGACAGAGAUGCAUACACUUCCCUCCGCUGAAGAAGAAUUAGGACACCUUCAUCAGCUUCCAGUGACACGGCAGGCUCAUGCAAAUCUGUUAGGACAGUUGUGCGGAGAAUGGCAUGCUCGUGAGGAUGCACAUCUCAUCAUCAGUAGUGAUGUUCAGAGGUGCAGCAUGUUGUCCAAGCCAGGUUCACACACAUCAGUCCCCAUCGAGGGGUAUGCUGGCAUCACACCUGGAUGGUGUGCCAUCACAUAUCACCAGAUUUAG